rnacentral:rRNA from 1 species
CCUACGGGGGGCAGCAGUCGAGAAUCAUUCACAAUGGGGGAAACCCUGAUGGUGCGACGCCGCGUGGGGGAAUGAAGGCCCUCGGGUUGUAAACUUCUUUCAUUCGGGACGAAACAAAUGACGGUACCGAAUGAAUAAGCCACGGCUAACUACGUACCAGCAGCCGCGGUAAUACGUAGGUGGCAAGCGUUAUCCGGAUUUACUGGGUGUAAAGGGCGUGUAGGCGGGAGAGCAAGUCAGACGUGAAAUUCCAGGGCUCAACCCUGGAACUGCGUUUGAAACUGUUCUUCUUGAGUGAUGGAGAGGCAGGCGGAAUGCCGUGUGUAGCGGUGAAAUGCGUAGAUAUACGGAGGAACACCAGUGGCGAAGGCGGCCUGCUGGACAUUAACUGACGCUGAGGCGCGAAAGCGUGGGGAGCAAACAGGAUUAGAUACCCUGGUAGUC